rnacentral:misc_RNA from 1 species
ACCUCCUUUCUAAGGAGCACCAUUUCCCCGCCGAAUGAGCGUGGGAACAUAAAGCGGGUUUCUGUAGUGGUUUCCUGCUUGGUGAAUAUGUUUUAUAAAUCCUGUCCGCUCUCGUUAUCGAGGUGGAUGGGUAGUCGGCAAGACGUCGGACUGUCAAAAGAAUUGGAAUGCUGGCACACUGUUGGGUCCUGAGGCAACACAUUGUGUUGUCGCCCUGCUUGGUGGUGGGGUGUGGACUUUGACUUCUGGAUAGUGGUUGCGAGCAUC